AUUGAACGCUGGCGGCAUGCCUUACACAUGCAAGUCGAACGGCAGCGGGGGAGAAGCUUGCUUUUCCUGCCGGCGAGUGGCGAACGGGUGAGUAAUACAUCGGAACGUGCCCUGUAGUGGGGGAUAACUAGUCGAAAGAUUAGCUAAUACCGCAUACGAUCUGAGGGUGAAAGUGGGGGACCGCAAGACCUUGUGCUACUAGAGCGGCCGAUGGCAGAUUAGGUAGUUGGUGGGGUAAAAGCUUACCAAGCCGACGAUCUGUAGCUGGUCUGAGAGGACGAUCAGCCACACUGGGACUGAGACACGGCCCAGACUCCUACGGGAGGCAGCAGUGGGGAAUUUUGGACAAUGGGCGCAAGCCUGAUCCAGCAAUGCCGCGUGCAGGAUGAAGGCCUUCGGGUUGUAAACUGCUUUUGUACGGAACGAAAAGCCCUGGGUUAAUACCCUGGGGUCAUGACGGUACCGUAAGAAUAAGCACCGGCUAACUACGUGCCAGCCGCCGCGGUAA
rnacentral:rRNA from 1 species